GAUGAACGCUGGCGGCGUGCCUAAUACAUGCAAGUCGAGCGAACGGACGAGAAGCUUGCUUCUCUGAUGUUAGCGGCGGACGGGUGAGUAACACGUGGAUAACCUACCUUUAAGACUGGGAUAACUUCGGGAAACCGGAGCUAAUACCGGAUAAUAUUUUGAACCGCAAGGUUCAAAAGUGAAAGACGGUCUUGCUGUCACUUAUAGAUGGAUCCGCGCUGCAUUAGCUAGUUGGUAAGGUAACGGCUUACCAAGGCAACGAUGCAUAGCCGACCUGAGAGGGUGAUCGGCCACACUGGAACUGAGACACGGUCCAGACUCCUACGGGAGGCAGCAGUAGGGAAUCUUCCGCAAUGGGCGAAAGCCUGGCGGAGCAACGCCGCGUGAGUGAUGAAGGUCUUCGGAUCGUAAAACUCUGUUAUUAGGGAAGAACAUAUGUGUAAGUAACUGUGCACAUCUUGACGGUACCUAAUCAGAAAGCCACGGCUAACUACGUG
rnacentral:rRNA from 1 species